rnacentral:lncRNA from 1 species
GAUAACCUCAAACAAUCAUAGUCUGGGAGAGGAUUCAAUCUGCUUUGUGAUCUGCCUCAUUAGGGACACCUCCAAAUAUGAAAGACUGGAAGAAAGUAUGCCAUGGGCUAUGUUAGUCCUGCUGUUGUCCUUUAUAGCUUUUUUUGACCUUCUCUCAAGGUUAAAAUUAGUAUUGGAGUCAAGCUUCUAAUUCAGAGAGAGGCUGGUCUGACCCAGAGCAGCCGUUCUGUUUCUCAGUGUGAAGCCUGGUCCAGUCAAUGGAGCCAGCCUUGCUGAGCUCAGCCCUUCUCAGGGCAGAUAUCCCCCAGGAAUCACUGACUCUGCUGUCCUUCCUACAGGCCAAAACUCAGUGAAUCACACUUCAGCUGCUAAUGUCAGGUUGUGAAAAGUUCCAUGCCUGAGGCUCCUCUGCUGUGCUGGUGAAACCUCUGCUGCUCCAUGUUGAUGCUGCUCCCUCGUGCCAUCCCCUGCUCACUGACACAAGACAAAAUGUGUCUGGGCAAGGAAUUGAUCUAAUGCAAUACCAUGUACUCCUUGGACAGAGAUGUUGACCUGAAGCUCCCUCUCAGAGAUCCCUUACAAAGAUACAUCCCAAAUUUCUGAAAAUUGAAGGACUUAUAUUUUUGGGAACUCCAAGGGUGAUUAGCUGUGAUGGAAGCAGCCAUACUGAAGACAACAAGGCCUCAUUUCAGUCAGUGCCAGCCAAAGCAGCCACUGUUUGGGAGUGCUGGGGCAGAGCUGAUCCCUGUGCCAGGGCUGCAAUCAUUGGGUGCUGGCAGAGAAAUGUUCCCUUGAAUUGUGACACAGCCAUUUUCAUCUCACAGGAUGAGAUACAGGAGAGGUCAGUGUAAUCACCAUAACCUACUCC